CUACGGGGUGCUCCAGUGGGGAAUAUUGCACAAUGGAGGAAACUCUUCUUCUUCAACUCCGCGUGGAGGAUGACACUUUUCGGAGCGUAAACUCCUUUUAUAUAGGAAGAAGAUGACGGUACUAUAUGAAUAAGCGCCGGCUAACUCCGUGCCAGCAGCCGCGGUAAUACGGAGGGCGCAAGCGUUACUCGGAAUCACUGGGCGUAAAGAGCGUGUAGGCGGAUUAAAAAGUCAGAAGUGAAAUCCUAUAGCUUAACUAUAGAACUGCUUCUGAAACUCUUAAUCUAGAAUAUGGGAGAGGUAGAUGGAAUUUCUGGUGUAGGGGUAAAAUCCGUAGAGAUCAGAAGGAAUACCGAUUGCGAAGGCGAUCUACUAGAACAUUAUUGACGCUGAGACGCGAAAGCGUGGGGAGCAAACAGGAUUAGAUACCCGGGUAGUC
rnacentral:rRNA from 1 species